AUGCACCACUCCUGUAGAAUAGCGCUUCAAGCCUGAAUCGUUACUAGGAGCCAUGUUGAAGGAACUGUGCAUCUUGCACAUGUGCUUUGAACACCUUGGAUUAUACUAAUACUUUUUCUACUUAUUACUGCUUACAAGGGCACGCUUUAUUUUAAGGGGUACUUUUUUUGUUUCAAUAGCUGUGAACAGCAACUUGAAAUGUAUGGAAAUAGGAGCUGCCAACAAUGUGUGCCUGAGAAUGAGAAUCAAAUAGACAUUGUGACGGUUUGGAUUGGACCUCAGUAAUCUUCUACCUCCAAUCCACUCUGGGAAUUUUACUGGGCAGCAAAAUAAGAAUUCCCUACAGCGACCACAAGAGGUUGAUAGAGUUCUCUUGAAUGAAAUCCACACAUCCCUGAUGGCACCCCAGGAUCUCUACUAUACCUUGUGACGGGACUGUCUCGAAGCAGACUUUUCAAGCCAUGUCUCAGCCUGUUUCUUCCCCUAUGAAACAAAGGUUUAAUGAUCUGGUAUGAUUCUGGUUUCUCUCUUCAAGUUCAGGUUCUAACCAAAUAUGAUCUAGUUAUGUAAUAGUCACUUGAGGAUCUCUAGUCCAGAGCUUGUUCAGCUUGUCCCUAUUUAAACCUCGGUUGGAACAAGGUCCUGGACUGGAAUAGAUUGAAAGCCAGUCAGUAAAUCUGGUAAAUAAAAAGGCUUAGUUUGUCCACAUUCUUUAUAUAAAGUGAUAAGCUCUUCUGAGAUACCUACAGUAUAUCAACACCUAGCAAUACAUCUAGGAAUAUAGACUUGGACUUAGAUUGUGGAUUACUAACAAUAGUUACUUAGAGUUUUAACUGGAGCCACACAAUGACAGUAAAAAACUUGUGUGCAGAUUAAUGGGAGUUAGGUACAUUGGUGUGCAGCAUGUGUGACAGGCAUUGUCCGAUGGGGGUAGAGGUAAAGAUUUAAAUGGUAACUAUAACUGAUAACACCUCUCUCUUGAAAGAGGCCCUUCUCAGUUUUUUUCCCCCGGCAAGAACAGAUUAGGAAAACAGCAGUAGAGCGACAUUUGGAUUGUGUACACACUUGUUAAAAGUUAAUUAACCAAUACAUGGUUUCCUUUAUUGUAUGUUUGUUUUAUGUUCUAUAUUUUCUAUGCAAAUAUUGGAUUGUACAGUAUAGUAUCAAGAAUGUACUGCCUGCCAACAGGGUGUCAGUCACGUACAUUUCAAUGGAUUAUAAUCAUUAUUUCAAAACAAAUGUAUAAAAAAGUAACAUUUUAAAGUUACUGUAAAAAUGUAACACUGACAGUAUGAAAUACACAACAGCUCCAAGCUAAAGGCAAAACUAAUUUGACACAUGGCAGUGCUUUGAGUUUCACCAAAGCUACGUGAGUAUGCAGUACUAAAUGGUUGAGCUGAGAUUCUUCUGCUCUUGCAAUAUGUUAAAUCUAGGCUGAACAGCACAAAUGGCUCAAAAAAUAAACAUACUAUAUACACAGCAUCUAAUUUGCUGUAAUAGCUCCUGUGGAUGAGUUUGUACCUCAAAGCAGGGUUGCACUUCUUUGGAGAAAAUUAAAAAUGACUUAUUUUGAAAACAAGGUCAUUUAUCAAGCUUUGACAAUAGACAAAUCAAGGAGAUACUGGCUAAAACUGAGACUCUGCCUUAUGAACAAUGUGGCAGCUGGACACUGACACCCCUUUUUGGACCGUCUUUGCCACUCCGGCUAGAGAACUGAGUACAAAACGGUCAUUCACUGAAAAUGAGCUGUUGCAUAUUAGUUUAGUUUCCCUGGAGACAUAAUUUAUAGAUAUAAAAAAGAGUUUAUGCAAUUAAUGGAUGCCCAGACUUCUGUUAAUCUGUGCAAAGCCAUGCCUUGCUGCUCAAACCCAGUGGGAAUAGCGAUAGGCAGAUAGUGUUCUAAGUCCAAAGUAUUGAGAUAUUUGAUAUUCUGGUGCCAGCUCUGCAAUAGCAUCUAAUAGAAAAUAACCACUGCCAAUUACCAUCCUGUUUUGCCCCUUUGAAGUGAUGCAGGAGCGAAACCCCUGAAUUUCCCUUUUCAAUUUCUGAACGGCUUGUUCUAAUGUCUCAGGGGGAUCUCCGAUACGUGCUGCAGCCCAUGUUGGGGGAGGCUGGUAGGAAUCUCAAGUGCCUUAGACUGCCUGAGAGACAUUUAACUUUUCAUAGUUAGAUAUUAUAAAGCAAAAUACAAAAGGUACAAAACUGAAAUACUUCUGUAUUAUUGUCUUACUCAAAACAGAAAUUACUAUUUGAUAAAACAAAAUAAUAAAAAACAUAUUUUGUCUUUUUUUUGGUUUAUUAAACAAUUAGCUGACUAAUUAUGGUCAUUGUUGUUUUUUCUACUAUUUUGACAGUUUCCUUUUUUCAUAUAUUUACAUGUUACUGACAUAGAAAUCUUGCUUUUUAAAACUGGUCUGUAAUGUUGCUGUCACUUACAGUGUGAAGAAACUGUAGUAUAUUAGCACAGGUGGGUAUAUAGGAGUAUGGUUAUAUGGGUACACAUGGGUAUAUGUUAACUGCCUAACUCCCUGGAAGGGCCAAUGAGAUGGAUGGUUAAUCCUUAGAACGGUGGAACAGCUUUUUUCCCCUCUCUUUAUUAUCCAAAGACCAGCCAGACCAAAGCCUCUCUAGGUGGAAACAGUUUUCUAACUGCUCUGCAACAAAUACAUCUGUGUCAGAAGACAAUGCCAUGGUACUUUAUCUGGGGGGGGGCCAUGGGGUCACCUUUAUAUCAUCGAAAUGUUACAAGAUAAUUCCCCAAAUCUUUAAACACCAGAUUCCUACGAUUACCUUUUGAUUAAAAUUGAGGUUUUUGUCCAAGGGAAAAGGUACAGAUAAAUAAUGAAGUGUUGAGAUUAGAAUAGAACAGACAUUCUGUAUGUAGAUGGCAAAGCAUACCCUGAUCUUUGAUCCCAUAAUGCUUUCAGAAAUAAAACGAUGAGUUAUUGUGACUGAUUAAGAUGUAAAAUGACACCAAGGUCAUUCGUACAGCCCAGAAGACUUUAUGCGCAGUGGUGCAAGGUUUAAAAGGUGUUGAACUCAUGAAUGUAUAUUAUUGCAAAUAAAAAUUGAAUUACCAAAGUGCAGGACUUUUAU